AAAAUAUUAUUUUUCACUAAAAUAUGAAAAUCCACCUUGAAUUUUUCGGGUGUUACAUUUUCGGAGAAUGUUUUCUGAGAAUAUUUUAUGAGAAUGAAAACAAAAAACUAAUUUGCAUUUUAUGAGAAUGAAAAUGCAUUUAGUAGAUUAAUUGGAAAACAGAUUUAGAAAAUAAAAAUAGUGAAAACUUGUCUGCGGCUAUGGCAGAAAUUGAUGCAUUUGGUAGAUGAAUUGGAAAACAGAUUCAGAUCUUGG
rnacentral:lncRNA from 1 species